UACGAAGGGUGCAAGCGUUACUCGGAAUUACUGGGCGUAAAGCGUGCGUAGGUGGUUUGUUAAGUCUGAUGUGAAAGCCCUGGGCUCAACCUGGGAAUUGCAUUGGAUACUGACAGACUUGAGGGCUUCAGAGGGACACGGAAUUCCGGGUGGAGUGGUGAAAUGCGUAGAGAUCCGGAGGAACACCAAAGGCGAAGGCAGUGUCCUGGGGAGUACCUGACGCUCAGGUGCGAAAGCCAGGGGAGCGAACGGG
rnacentral:rRNA from 1 species